CUCUGUUAUGUCCAAAUUCGGAUGGGAAGCAGGGGGAGUGGAACUGAAGGUCCAUGUUUCAUCAGAAGGCGGCCAAUAUAAUCGUGUGAGCUCAGACCACAAGGUAGAAGAUCUUCCUGAUGUUGAACACCAAGAUUUUUGAAAGACCUUCAACUAAGAUAAAGUCACACUCCCCACCCCCCGGAAAAUACACAAUUAAAUGAAACUAGUGGAUUCAGUAAUAGUGGCAGUGUGAUUCUGCUCCUCAUGAUUAUUCAGCAAUGAAUAAGGACACAACAAGCAGCAGACUUACUUAACAAGUUGUGACUCUGGUUCAUCACAAAAGAACCUGUCAUCCCCAGACUCAGGCCUUGAAUGUCCUUUCAUCUUCUGCACAGAGUCCGAGGUCACGUGGUACCACCACCUUGCUGAAGCUAAGCACGUCUAGGUCUGGUCAGUACCUGGAUUUUCUUUCAGAAAGCAAAGUUAUUUGUGUUUUAUGGAAAGGAUGUCAAAUCAGGAUUGUCCCUGGCGAUAUAACAGUGGUCUAUGGUUAACAGAUUACUUUAAUUGAUUUUGAUGUACCCCAGAAGUACUUUGAGUCAAAACCUAACACCACUCUGAAGAGAUACAUCAGCUGCUGCAAGUAACACUGUUUUCUGUUGGUAGUUGUUCUAUAUCUUUGGGAACCACACCAGGCAUUUACCUGAUGGAAAGGUUGAUGGGCUGUCCCUCUAGAGCAGGGCUGCUCAACUUCAGCCCUCCUGCAGAUGUUGGCUUACAACUCCCAUAAUCCUUGGCUAAUGACCACUGUGGCUGGGGAUUAUGAGAGUUGUAGUCCAAAAACAGCUGGCAGGGGCCUAAGUUGAGCAGGUCUGCUCUAGAGUGACUCUCUCUUCCCAAAGGACUUAAAAGGAGCAUCCGAUUCCGAACUAGCCAUUAUAACAGCAAGUAAAUCAUCUUGCCGAUGCACAGUAUUCACUGAUAAUUAUUAUAAAUUGCUGAGAACAAGCGGAUCCCUUUCAAACGUCAUUUUGGGAUAGGAGUGGAAAUGGAAUGUCAUGCAACGUGUAUUAAAUUAAUAGCAUGACUGCUCGGUUGAACAGGAUGCAGAUUAUAAAUUAGGAGUCAGUAAUUUAAAAUCAUUCACUUGCUUGUCUUUCAGCAUAAUGGGCUAAUCAUAUAUAUGUGCAGAAGUAAUGCAUUGGCUAGGCUUCAGAUAAGGCAACAUAAGGAAUAAGAACACCUUCUCCACCCAUGCUAAGAGCAUUUUUACCUUUCUCUGAAACAGAUUUCUUUCCAAGUUCCAUUGAUUUAAGUGUUUAGAAGAAUGAUGACAAUGUGAUUGUCUUCCCAUUUACUGUCCUUCAUAAUUACUAGUUCCUGGCUGGCACAGCAAGAAUGCAAACCCUUUAGAGAGGAGCCAGUUGUGACUGCGGUGGAUCAGUUCCAUGAUCUAGUCAGGAUUCCAGAAGACCCUGAUUUCAGCCAGAUAGUCUAUCUCGAGUGGUCUUCUACUAGAUUACUUGACCAGAACAACCUGCGAGUACUAGAUGUCUAGAUGGAAUCAGAGACAUUGGCUGACAUCCAGUUACUUAAUAAUACCACUCAGGAGCUAUUUUAAAUGACUUUAACUGAAAUUUAAAUUUUAAAUUUCAAUGUGUGUUUUUAUCUAUUGUGAUUUUUAUCAGUUUUUAUGAAUUUUAAAUGUUGUAUAUUUUAUAUUAUGUUUUAAUUUGUACACCACCUAGAGAUAUCUAUA